AGGGUAAACAAUGCAAAUGCCGUAGAUACGUGGUUUCUUGAUUGGAGGGAAAAACAAAUCGGACGUGUAAAAUUAACCUCCCGUCCCCGGUCCUCCUCUCUCUCUCUCUCUCCCUGUAUCCCCCUCCCUCGCUCCACCCCUGUAACCAAUUCAUCUCUACCUCUGCUUUCUUCUCAAAAUAUAUUAUUAUUCAAAUAGUUCUCUUCCGCCUUUCCUCCAUCUUAAAGCCCAUUGAAUUGAAUAUUCAUCAUCAUCUUCUUCCUGGCUUCGAAUUCAUCUGUGACCUGUCUCCAGGCCCUGUGUUGUCAUCCGUCUCACAUAGCCACAAAGCAUCACCACUCCUCUCGAUUAGGUUUUCUAUUCUCUCAACGAAUUAAAGGGUGUAAUUUGUUUCUUCUCAAAUCUUGGAGAACUCAAUAACAAGAUAGGCAGUUAGCACGCACAGGAUCGAAGAAGUACAAGGCAUUGUUCACGACCGCAUUGAUAGAUGCUAUCGCAAGCUUCAGCUUCGGACGGACUUCCAGCUCCUGGCGAUAGUAAAUAACUUGAGUUUGUUCAAUUGGGACGUGCCAAUUUUCCAUCUGCUUAUACGAGGGAAUCUGGUUUCAGUGGUUCAACGUUCAAUGACAUCAUCGGCAUGUACCUUGGAAUGGCUCUCGCAUAUAAGGCAAACUUUAUAGAUGCACACGCUUGCAGAAUGAACAUGCCAUUUUGACAUUAUACCAUCAUUUCUCAAAACAUUUGGAGUCUUAAGCAAACCAAAUGGAACCUUCAACGUUCAGAGAACCCAUCUAAGGAACAUUGCUACAGUGACCAAAAACAAGGAUUUUGGUGCCACAGAGACACCCCUAGAGCAGAAACCAGAACAAAGCGGUUCAUCUUGCUGUCCAGAAAGGCCUUACUAGCUCGGCAAUUCUCACAGAAGAGUUUCCAGACCGACUUUCAAAUGUUUUGGUUGAAGAUCAUCACAUAGUUACGUUUUCAGUUGAUGUUGCUUUGGGUUAAUCUUGUAGUUGUUGGUUUCUUUUGUUUUUGUGUGUAGGGUACUUUUAUCUUCGUUUUCUUCUGUCCGUGGUCUUGGUUGUAGCUCCUUUGGGGAGAUGUUUUAUCUUGUUUCUAAUGAAUUUCAUCUUUUCAACCAAAAAAAAGGCACUCUAGAGAGAUGGUACCGAAGAACACUUUCCAGUACUAGUUAUAACCAAUGCAUAGGGUUCGUUUUGUUUGUCUUUCAAACAUAUAA